GACGAACGCUGGCGGCGUGCUUAACACAUGCAAGUCGAACGAUGAACUUGGAGCUUGCUCUGGGGGAUUAGUGGCGAACGGGUGAGUAACACGUGAGUAACCUGCCCUGGACUCUGGGAUAACUUCGAGAAAUCGGAGCUAAUACCGGAUAGGACCUUGCACCGCAUGGUGUGGGGUGGAAAGUUUUUCGGUUUGGGAUGGACUCGCGGCCUAUCAGCUUGUUGGUGAGGUAAUGGCUCACCAAGGCGUCGACGGGUAGCCGGCCUGAGGGGGUGACCGGCCACACUGGGACUGAGACACGGCCCAGACUCCUACGGGAGGCAGCAGUGGGGAAUAUUGCACAAUGGGCGCAAGCCUGAUGCAGCAACGCCGCGUGCGGGAUGACGGCCUUCGGGUUGUAAACCGCUUUUAGUAGGGAAGAAGCCUUCGGGUGACGGUACCUGCAGAAAAAGGACCGGCUAACUACGUGCCAGCAGCCGCCGUAAUAC
rnacentral:rRNA from 1 species